rnacentral:rRNA from 1 species
GACGAACGCUGGCGGCGUGCUUAACACAUGCAAGUCGAACGGAAAGGCCCUGCUUUUGUGGGGUGCUCGUUUGGCGAACGGGUGUGUAACACGUGAGUAACCUGCCCUUGACUUUGGGAUAACUUCAGGAAACUGGGUCUAAUACCUGAUAGGAUCUCCUGCUGCAUGGUGGGGGUUGGAAAGUUUCGGCGGUUGGGGAUGGACUCGGGGGUUAUCUGCUUGUUGGUGGGGUAGUGGCUUACUACGGCAUUGACGGGUAGCCGGCUUGUGGGGGUGACCGGCCUCUUUGGGACUGGGGUACGGCCCUGACUCCUAUGGGGGGCAGCGGUGGAGAUUAUUGCUGAUUGGGCGGAGGCCUAAUGCAGCAACGCCGCGUGUGAGAUGUCGGGCGUUUGGUAGUGAUCCGCAUUCGCUUGUGACGAGGCGUGAGGGACGUUAAUGGGUCAAGAAGCACCGGCUAACUACGUG